rnacentral:tRNA from 1 species
CUCGUUGUGGCGCCUGGAUAGCGCACUUGACUGGGGGUCAAGGGCUCGCAGGUUCAAAUCCUGUCGUCCCGACCA